AUGGAGUCUCCCCUGGUGGCGGUGAUGUCACACUUGCUGACUUUUCUGGAGCAGUACUCCCAUUUCCAACAGCUGCAGCAGCAGGCCGACCAGUACCGGGUUCAGCUGAAGAGGCACCGCGUCCAGCACCGCGUCCAGAUGAAGGCCCUGCGAGCAUCAUACCGCCAGCGCCUCAGGGACAAAAGCAGCAUCAUCAGCAGCCUGGAGGAAGCCAUCAGCCAGCAACAGACCCCCAGUCCACUGAGCGAGGGUGAGUCCAGCAGUGAUGCAGGGACACAAGCUGGGGUGCACAGGCUGGUUGAGUCUCUGUACGGUCUGCAGGGGGAGAGGAGUAAGCUGAGAGGAGAACUCCGUCUGCUGCACUCGCAGCUGGAGCAGAAAGAUACGGACAGACUCUCUCGUAUGCAGACCUUUCAACAGCAGAUCGACGAGCUCAAGAGUUGCAUAGAGGAGCGCGAGGAGGAGCUGUCGAGACUGAAAACAGCCACUGGGGCCACAGACUCAGAGAAGCGUGUCCUGUGUCUGUCUGCAGAGAACGAGAGCCUGAAGCAGAACCUGAGCGUGACCCAAGGCCUCCUGCAGCAGCUGUCAACCAUCCCCUCCCAGUCCAGCACCAUGCUCAUCAAGGUGAGCACCGGCACAGCUGAGAGCUCACUGACGUGCUACCAACACAGCCAUUAG
rnacentral:lncRNA from 1 species